CUACGGGACGCUGCAGUGAGGAAUAUUGCACAAUGGGGGGAACCCUGAUGCAGCAACGCCGCGUGGAGGAUGACGCAUUUCGGUGUGUAAACUCCUUUUAUAUGUCAAGAAAAUGACGGUAGCAUAUGAAUAAGCACCGGCUAACUCCGUGCCAGCAGCCGCGGUAAUACGGAGGGUGCAAGCGUUACUCGGAAUCACUGGGCGUAAAGGACGCGUAGGCGGGUUGGAAAGUCAGGUGUGAAAUCCUACAGCUUAACUGUAGAACUGCACUUGAAACUUCUAGUCCAGAGUAUGGGAGGGGGAGAUGGAAUUAGUGGUGUAGGGGUAAAAUCCGUAGAUAUCACUAGGAAUACCUAAAGCGAAGGCGAUCUCCUGGAACAUUACUGACGCUAAGGCGUGAAAGCGUGGGGAGCAAACAGGAUUAGAUACCCCUGUAGUC
rnacentral:rRNA from 1 species